rnacentral:rRNA from 1 species
AUACGGAGGAUCCGAGCGUUAUCCGGAUUUAUUGGGUUUAAAGGGUGCGUAGGUGGUUUGAUAAGUCAGCGGUGAAAGUUUGCAGCUUAACUGUAAAAAUGCCGUUGAAACUGUCGGACUUGAGUGUAAAUGAGGUAGGCGGAAUGCGUGGUGUAGCGGUGAAAUGCAUAGAUAUCACGCAGAACUCCGAUUGCGAAGGCAGCUUACUAAGCUACAACUGACACUGAAGCACGAAAGCGUGGGGAUCAAACAGGAUUAGAUACCCUGGUAGUCCACGCAGUAAACGAUGAUUACUAGCUGUUUGCGAUACACAGUAAGCGGCACAGCGAAAGCGUUAAGUAAUCCACCUGGGGAGUACGCCGGCAACGGUGAAACUCAAAGGAAUUGGCGGGG